CAGCCUUAAUACAUGUCCAAUCACAGUUUAGAAUUCCCAACGGCAUACAACUGUUUAUUUGUUCUAUCAGAUAAGGAUUUUCAUUGAGAACUUGGUGCAAUGGGGGAGAACAAAUCAAUAUAUAAACAUUUCUCUGCAUUACCUCUGCAACCUAACCAAAAAUCGUAUUCAUGUAACUAUUGCAAGAAAAAGUAUGCAGAAAACAUUACUCGCAUGCGAAAACAUCUUUAUAAAGAGUGUAGAAGUUGUCCUCAAGACUUACGGAAACUUUUAAAACCAUGUAAACCUCGUAAACGAAAUAAUUCUCAUCUAAACAGCACAGACGACUCAUUUACUAUUGAAGAUUUGAAUGAAGCAGACAAUAGAGCAAGUACUUCAAUGAUUUCAAAUGAAAAUUUACCAAAUAAUAUAAGUGUUUGUAGCAAUAACUAUAAAAAAAA
rnacentral:lncRNA from 1 species